CUGGUUACCUGAGCCAGGUCUGGGGCCAGGCAGCAUGCAUUCUAGUCCUGCCUGGGACACUCACUGGCCUCAAGAUCUUGGGCAAAACAGCUGACUGCUUUGCACCUCAGUUUCCUCAUCUGUAAGGUCCAGGACUACCCACUUCCCUUGGAAUGGUGUUGCCAUCACUGUUCUGGCACCGGAGAAAGGAUUCUACAUCGUUAGGAGAAAAGAAAAAGGAGAAUUUGGGCUUGCACUGAGAGGAUUACCUUUGGUGGUCUGGAAGUGGUGGGGUUGCAGCAUUGAAGGCACCAUCUUGGAAGCAGAGACUAGACCCUCACCAAGCAAUUAACAUGCUGGUGCAUUGAUCUUGGACUUUCCAGCCUCCAGAACUGGAAGUCCCUGCAUGGACACUGCCAGCUUCAUUGCACUUCUGCCUCUAUGCUUUUUCCUGAACCUUCUCCACCUCUGGAACGUACUUCAGGCUGCACAGGGAGCAUGGCUGGGAGGCCUCAGGAAACUGAC
rnacentral:lncRNA from 1 species